AGUGAACGCUGGCGGUAGGCCUAACACAUGCAAGUCGAACGGCAGCACAGUAAGAGCUUGCUCUUACGGGUGGCGAGUGGCGGACGGGCGAGGAAUACAUCGGAAUCUACUUUUUCGUGGGGGAUAACGUAGGGAAACUUACGCUAAUACCGCAUACGACCUACGGGUGAAAGCAGGGGAUCUUCGGACCUUGCGCGAUUGAAUGGGCCGAUGUCGGAUUAGCUAGUUGGCGGGGUAAAGGCCCACCAAGGCGACGAUCCGUAGCUGGUCUGAGAGGAUGAUCAGCCACACUGGAACUGAGACACGGUCCAGACUCCUACGGGAGGCAGCAGUGGGGAAUAUUGGACAAUGGGCGCAAGCCUGAUCCAGCCAUACCGCGUGGGUGAAGAAGGCCUUCGGGUUGUAAAGCCCUUUUGUUGGGAAAGAAAAGCAGCAGGUUAAUACCCCGCUGUUCUGACGGUACCCAAAGAAUAAGCACCGGCUAACUUCGUG
rnacentral:rRNA from 1 species